CGGAAGUGCGGCGUGCUAUACAUGCAAGUCGAGCGGACAGAUGGGAGCUUGCUCCCUGAUGUUAGCGGCGGACGGGUGAGUAACACGUGGGUAACCUGCCUGUAAGACUGGGAUAACUCCGGGAAACCGGGGCUAAUACCGGAUGGUUGUUUGAACCGCAUGGUUCAGACAUAAAAGGUGGCUUCGGCUACCACUUACAGAUGGACCCGCGGCGCAUUAGCUAGUUGGUGAGGUAACGGCUCACCAAGGCGACGAUGCGUAGCCGACCUGAGAGGGUGAUCGGCCACACUGGGACUGAGACACGGCCCAGACUCCUACGGGAGGCAGCAGUAGGGAAUCUUCCGCAAUGGACGAAAGUCUGACGGAGCAACGCCGCGUGAGUGAUGAAGGUUUUCGGAUCGUAAAGCUCUGUUGUUAGGGAAGAACAAGUGCCGUUCAAAUAGGGCGGCACCUUGACGGUACCUAACCAGAAAGCCACGGCUAACUACGUGCCAGCAGCCGCGGUAAUACGUAGGUGGCAAGCGUUGUCCGGAAUUAUUGGGCGUAAAGGGCUCGCAGGCGGUUUCUUAAGUCUGAUGUGAAAGCCCCCGGCUCAACCGGGGAGGGUCAUUGGAAACUGGGGAACUUGAGUGCAGAAGAGGAGAGUGGAAUUCCACGUGUAGCGGUGAAAUGCGUAGAGAUGUGGAGGAACACCAGUGGCGAAGGCGACUCUCUGGUCUGUAACUGACGCUGAGGAGCGAAAGCGUGGGGAGCGAACAGGAUUAGAUACCCUGGUAGUCCACGCCGUAAACGAUGAGUGCUAAGUGUUAGGGGUUUCCGCCCCUUAGUGCUGCAGCUAACGCAUUAAGCACUCCGCCUGGGGAGUACGGUCGCAAGACUGAAACUCAAAGGAAUUGACGGGGCCCGCACAAGCGGUGUAGCAUGUGGUUUAAUUCGAAGCAACGCGAAGAACCUUACUAGUCUUGACAUCGUCUGACAAUCCUAGAGAUAGGACGUCCCCUUCGGGGGCAGAGUGACAGGUGGUGCAUGAUGUCGUCAGCUCGUGCUCGUGAAGAUGUU
rnacentral:rRNA from 1 species